AUGGUGCGGGAGCUCCGCGCCGACUCCUUCUACGCCCGCCUCCGCGCCGCCGCCGCCGCGGCCGCGGCGGCCGCCUCCUCCCCGCUGCUGAUCCUCCCUUCCGCGGCCGACGCCGACUCCCUCUGCGCGCUCAAGGCGCUCGCCCACGUCCUCUCCGCCGACUCCAUCCGCUUCUCCAUCUACCCCGUCGCCUCCGCCGCCGCCGCCGCCACCCUCCUCGCCUCCUUCUCCGCGUCCCAGCCGCUCUGCUUGCUCCUCAUCAACUGGGGCGCGCACCGCGACCUCCGCGGCAUCCUGCCCCCCGCCUCCACCGCGUUCGUCGUCGAUUCCCAUCGCCCCGUCCACCUCCACAACCUCGCUGCGGCCAACGACCGCGUCGUCGUGCUCUUCACCACCGACGACGAGCACACCGCCGAUCUCUCCUAUGAUUUCGACGUUUCCUCCCUCGCCAACGCCUCCGACCUCACCGCCGACGGGGACGCCGACGAGCACCUCCGUGUCUCGGAGGAGGACGAGGACUCUGACGCCUCUGACUCCGAUUCUGACGCCGAGGGAGGGAGAAGGAAGAGGCGCCGGCUCUCGGACGAUGGGGAGGCGGACGGCGACCCGGAGAGGCUGUUCGGCAAGCUGCGGAGGGAGUACUACCGCCUCGGCACCUUCCACGGGAAGCCGUCGGGGUGCCUCAUGUACGAGCUCGCCCACACGCUCCGCAGGAACACCAACGAGCUCCUCUGGCUCGCCUGCGUCUCCCUCACCGACCAGUUCGUCCACGAGCGCAUCACCAACGAGCGCUACCAGGCCGCCGUCAUGGAGCUCGAGCAGCACAUCAACGGAUCCGGCAACCUCGACCCGUCCGGCCUCGGGUCGGUGGUCACGCUAAAGGAUGGAACCAAGAUCCGGGCGCCGGAGGCCUCCCGCAUCGCCUAUGAGGACGAGCCAAGGCUGAUGCUGCUGCGGGAGUGGAGUUUGUUCGACUCCAUGCUCUGCUCCUCAUAUGUCGCCACCAAGCUCAAGACCUGGAGCGACAACGGGCUGAAGAAGCUGAAGCUGCUCCUGGCGAGGAUGGGGUUCCCGCUCGCCGACUGUCAGAAGAGGUUCCAGUACAUGAGCAUGGAGGUCAAGCGCAAGAUGCGCGAUGAGUUUGAUCGGUUCCUGCCUGAGUAUGGGCUCACUGAGUUCUACUACCGGAGCUUCCUGAGGGUGCACGGUUACAGGUCCAAGGUGUCUGCUGCGGAUGUUGUGUAUGGUGUCACAGCUUUGCUUGAAUCCCUGAAUGCCGAGUCCAAGGACUCAAAGGAGUGUUGUGCUGCUGAGCAGUUUUGGGUUGCUUACUCUGCAUUGUCGCUGAGCAAUGUGGAUCAGCUGCGAAAAGGAAUGCAAUCUGCAAUUGAGAUACAGAUGGCGAUACUGAGGCAGGGAAGCUCAGCCAUCACUAAGAGUGGAUUCAUCAGGAGUGCGAAGAAGUUCCGGUGGGUCAAGCUUGAUGAUCCAGUGGACACUGCUAAGCUUUGCCACCCGCAGGCGCUUACUAAGUUCUGUUUCUUCCUGAUGGAUGCACUGAAGGAGAGGGGUGCAAGGAUGAAGCCACUAAUCUGUGCUUGCUUAGCAAGGGAGCCUGAGAAGGUGUUGGUCAUUGGUGUAUGUGGGAAGCCAAGGCUCGGGGCAGUUCAGGGGAACGCGUUCGGUAACGCAUUUAGGUCAGCGGCAGAGGAGAUCGGUGCUGAUUAUUUCCAUGACAUGUUUGAGUCAUCAUGGAUUGUUCUUGAUGUUGUUGCUGUCAGUUCUUUCAUGAUUAGGUUAACAGAGAAGCUUUGA
rnacentral:rRNA from 1 species